ACAGGUUUGAUUAGUACUCCAAAAUUACACUUUUUUUACCAUCUACUAGCCUUAACAACCACAAGUUCAUCAGCAAUCAACACGUUAUUUGGUAUGAUAUAUCUAUCUUUUUCUUUUUUAAAAAUCCAUUUAGAAACCAUCAUAUUAUGUACAGCCACUAUUCUCUAGAAAUCCCUAAGUUCUGGGGACUUUCAAUGUACAGACAACCAAAACUCCUGAUCAAUGUAAUUUUGCUACACUAAAUUUAGCAGACUACUGACUCCACAACUGCACAAAAAAGGGCCUAGUCUUCUAUGGACCCAAAAAAUAAAGACUUGAAAUGAAUGAAUUGAUAAGCACAUUCUUAAACCAAGUGACUUUUAAAUUCAGCUUUUUCUACGGUUAUUAGCUUUUCUUGCACUCUUGGAAUUGGUCCCUGAAGAAGACUCCACAGAUAUUGGCAAGACGGUUCCAUCCUUGAUUUCAUUUGAUGUUGACACCUGCUCCAUUGUUCUUCCUGAUUCCAGAUACACCAUUAAGUCUCUAAGCUGUUCUUCCAGGUCAUGAAUUUUAUCAUCUUUCAUUUUCAGAGCUUUUUUCUCCCUGGAAACAUUUGAACCCAAGGUAAUACCCAGUGCAAAGUACAAAAGAAAUAAAGCAGUGUAAAAAUGUUAUUAAGCAGGUAAGUUUACAUAUAUUUAGCAGUACUCUAAAUUUCUGAAGAAUAAAUGUUAAUAAGACAUCAAGAAUGUGUUCACAGAUGGUCCAGCUUCCCAGUUUUCUACAACAAAUGUUUCCAAAAUUUUGACUUUACAUGUGACUAAUUGAACUUGUAAAUUGGGAUGGCAUGCUAACACACAACAGUUACAAAGAGGAAAAUACGGGAGGACUGAAGUUGGUUUAGAACAAGGCCAUAAUUAAUGUCCAUUACCCACACUAUGUGGCAUUCAAACCAAAAAUAGAUCAUUUCAAAUGGAACCACUAUGCCAGUAGGUUAAUAGUCUAACAGUCAAGUGCAUAGAAAUUCAAUCCUGGUGGACCCUCUCCAUUAAAAGUUCCAUAUGUACCAAAAAUAGAAACCACUACAGAAAUGUAGGAAAUGCAAUUGUACAAAUUAUGGUGAGAAUUCAAAAACAUCCCCCAGAAAUCAUCAGUGCCAUAGCAAUGACUCCUAUAAACUAUUAUAGAACUUUUUCGUGCAUUCUUUUUAAAGCACAAUGGCAUGAACUCAAUGCAACAUCCAAACACAGGUUAAAGCCUUUUUGUCACAACCCAUACAUACCUCUCCUCAAUCUCCAAUAUCUUUGCUUUCCAUAUCUCCUGAUUUUUCAAAAGAUUCUCAUUGAGUUCAUCAAGAAAUUUCUUCUCUUUGAGACACCUAUCCAGCUUAGCCUGCAACUUUUGCAACUUUUGUGCAACAGCCUUCUUGACUGCUUCUGAAAUUUCCCUUUCAGUUUCUUCAUUGACUUCUUGAAGCAAAGUCUCAAAAUAUAGUUUCUGGUUCUCAAGUUGGGUGGCUAGGAGCUCAUUGUAUUCAUUAACAAUCGCUUCAACUUUGCCGUUCAAAAGAGCAUCACUAACUCCAGACUUUAAACAAACACAACUUCCACAACCGUCAUUACCAUGCACACAAUGGGAAUUCAAUUCAACUAAUUUUCCAUCAGUUUUUGAUUGAAUCAGUCGGUGCACAUAAUUGUCACCAACAUAAUCCCAAACACGUUGUGUUUCCAGUUCAAGUGAAUAGCAAUGUUGUGUUUCUUUCCAAUGUCUUGUGGCAUGUCCUCCUUUGUAACUCCCACAGCCAACAAAACCACAGAUAACACAGAGCCAUAGAUUAUCUGAAGUUUGACAUACAAAACAUAUUGAUUUUUCAGGUUGUUGCUGGCAGUAUCGGCAAACUGGACAAGAAGAAUCUUCCCAUUUUGAAAUGCAUGAGCAGUGAAAAGAAUGAUUACAGAUAGUUGUGAGAAUUCCACCCAUGUCUUGGUCUAAUUUCUCAAGACAAACAGGACAUGAAGGCUGCUCAGUUGUGCUUGCCGGGGAAGGCUGAGUGUCAAGUGAACCACUAUAACCAGUGAACUGUACAUCAACUAUAAAAAGCAAGCGGCAAACAUCUUCCUCCAAAGAAUUAAAUUGUCUACCAUUAAAAUGUUGAUAGAAUCUAUCUGUAGAGUCCUGACUGUCAAAUCUUAUCAGGAUGCUAUAUUGCUCCUCCAUCCCAUCAUUCCUACCAAAUAAAGUAACAAAAUCAGUACUAUCUAACAUACAUGCACAAACACACACAACAAAAUAAAAAAGAGGAGGGGGGUGCCAGUGUCGAGAAACAAUAAGUGGUUGCUCAUGAAAUUAACAACUGAAUGAAAGCAAAGACUAUUAUAAGUUAUUCUUUGUUUGGACAUCAAAAUAUCAUCGUUCCACAUUUCUUUGACUUUGAAUGUAUCUACAAUAAAACCAAGAUCUAGAUACACCACUCAUCAGAAUUCAUUCAAAUUUCAAAGUUUAGUUUAAUUGCACACCUUGGCAGACCAGCAAGAUUACACAACGUAGAAGAUCAUUGGAUGCAGGAUCUAUAUGAGCAGCACACAGGUUUAAUCAUAUAUCUGAUCAAGUCACACACUUGGGUUAAAUUAUUAAUUACUGCACUUUCUGAACAUAGGAAGAAUCUCAACAUUGGAUGCUGAAAAUGAGAGCCUUGUAAUUAGGCCAUAACAGGAUUAUUAGGUAUCUAAUAUAUAUUUUUAUUAUUGAUGACCCUAGUUACAUAAACAUGUAAAAUGAGCUUCUUCGUCUCUUUCUUGCCCUAUGUUUCCUAGGAUUAAAGCCAGUUUUUUUUACCUUCGCUCCCUCUUCCUUUUGUUUCCCUUGCCCAUCAAUUCUUCUUUCCUUCCAAAGCUUCCAAUGUUGCUUUACACUUAGAUAAUACUCCAAAAUCAUUUAUCCAAUUUAUGCACCCUACCCCAUUUAUAACAUCUACCAAUUUGACCUUCCUUACAAAAAUUUUUCAAAGGACACCAUUCUCUAUCUAGGAUCUCUUUACCUUCAACUGACCUGCAUUUAGAUUCCAAAUUUCAUACUUUAGUCUUACUUAAGUUAAUGUCCCUUUAAUGUCAGGAUAUUGCAUCACAAUUCCCCAACUUGAAAUUGGCCCUUCUCUUAAUUUCUCUACCAAAACUAUAUUAUCAUUACCUAUAGUUAUUUCAGGUAUUUCUCCCAAUUAUGUCUGAUGCCGCAAGACUCCAAGUAAAACUAUAGCACUACUCACAAUAUUUUUACCUGACUAUUCUCAUCUCCAAUAUAUGGUGAAGAAAAGAAGCGCAAAACUGGCAGAAAUCUGCAUAAGUCAUGUGAUUUGGCACCCCAAGAACUGACAAAGAAGGUUUUCUUCCCACGGGAAGACCGGAAACCCCAUCAUUGGAGAAGAGGUGCAUGACGCCUCGUGUCUCUUCGAUCCUAAGGUUUCCAGAUGAGAAAGGAAAGGCCUGCGUCAUUGGAGACGAUGAAGACGUGGAGGAGUCGCAAUAAUCUCCAGUGAUCAUCGCUUCCGAUUCCCGGAAAUGAUCCUUCGGCGUAGUUACAGAGACUACUGUGCUUGAGCUCGGAGACAUAUCGGUUAGAUUCGAUUAAAAACGAAAGAUCAUUCGCGCGGUUUGGCAGCGGAUAAAGAUAAUAUAACGCAGACAGUCCCAUACCAAGCCACGCCGAG
rnacentral:misc_RNA from 1 species